rnacentral:rRNA from 1 species
GAUGAACGCUGGCGGCGUGCCUAAUACAUGCAAGUCGAGCGAACAGACGAUGCUCUUGCUCCUCUGACGUUAGCGGCGGACGGGUGAGUAACACGUGGAUAACCUACCUAUAAUACUUGGAUAACUUCGUGAAACCGGAGCUAAUACCGGAUAAUAUAUUGAUUCGCAUGGUUCAAUAGUGAAAGACGGUUUUGCUGUCACUUAUCGAUGGUUCCGCGCCGCAUUAGCUAGUUGUUAAGGUAACGGCUUAUCAAGGCAACGAUGCGUAGCCGACCUGAAAGGAUGAACGACCAAAUUCGAAUUGAGACAGAGACCUGACUCAUACGGGAGGAAGCAGCAGGAGAGCUUACGCAUGGGGCAAGAACCUGACAAAGCAACGCCGCGUGGGUAAUGAAAGUCUUCGGAUCGUAAAGCUCUGUUAUUAGGGAAGAACAAAUGUGAAAGGUACUAUGGACGUAUUGACGGUAACAGAUAAGAAAGCCACGGCUAACUACGUG